CUGUUGUAGAUGGUGGAGCUCUCUGCCGCUUCCUCUUCCCUCUCUUUCUUCUUCAAUCUCGAGCCACGAGCUUUCCUCCGGUUCUGCUUUACUUUUCUGCAACGAAAUCUCCUGCUUAUGUAUGCAGACUCUUUCUGAAACUCCUCAGUUUUCACCUUAAAUUCCUCAAUUUUCAUGUUUUCCAGAUUUUGGCAAUUGAAAGCUGAUACUCUCUCAGAAGUAGCAGCACUUUCCUUGCCAUCCUGGUAAUCUUCACCAUCAGAACUCUGGAAGAAGAUAUUUUGAUGGUUUCUUGAAUUAGAAACUGCUGAAUCAUAAAACUCCUCUUUCACUUGAUCUGUUUUCUGCAGCUGUGUUGGUUCUUGUUCUUCCUCCGGAUUUGAUGACUCUUUUUCUCCUUGAUGAAGCCCUGUUCCGAGUUCUGCUUGCUUCUUCCUCUCAACUCUGCCUCUCAAUUUUCUUGAGCGUCGAACAUUUGUGUUGUCUUU
rnacentral:lncRNA from 1 species